rnacentral:tRNA from 1 species
CAGGGAGACAACAAAAUGUUUAAUAUUAUUAUUUUGUCACCUUAGGUCGAUCGGUAUCUCACGUUCUUAAUUAAUUAAGAAUUUCAUUUCCUAAGUUUUUCUAGGUCACACCCAUUAUUUUCCUGGGCCAUUAGCUCAGGUGGUUAGAGCGCACCCCUGAUAAGGGUGAGGUCCCUGGUUCAAGUCCAGGAUGGCCCAUAUCUCUAUGUUGGGGGUAUAGCUCAGUUGGUAGAGCGCCUGCUUUGCAAGCAGGAUGUCAGCGGUUCGAGUCCGCUUACCUCCACUGAUUACCACCUCUUCCACAAUCUGUAGAAAGGAAAAUUUUUGAGUUGUGAUCACAAUUCUGAACGAAUCUAGCUUCCUAAUGAAACCAUUAAGAUGCUGGACUCAUUGAAUUAAUUUCAUUGUUUUCAGAGAACCUUGACAACUGCAUAGAUUAUUUUUAAAGACAAUAAGCAUCUUUAAUGAUGCAGAUUUAUUAUUUGUGCAAAUGCAUUAACAACAAUUCUAUUAAGCUGAUGCUUCAAUUAUGAAGUUAUU